GGCGUGGAUUAGGCAUGCAAGUCGAACGAGUCUCUGGGGGGUAACUCCUAGAGGAAAGUGGCGAAAGGGGCAGUAAUGUAUGGGUAACCUACCUUGAGGUCUGGGAUAGCUAUUCUAACGGAUAGGUAAUACUGGACGGCCUAAGUUGUCGGCAUCGACGAUUUAGUAAAGGUUACGCCUCGAGAGGGGCCCAUAUGAUAUUAGCUAGUUGGUGGGGUAAUGGCCCACCAAGGCAAAGAUGUCUAGCGGGUGUGAGAGCACGACCCGCGUCAUUGGCACUGAGACACUGGCCAAACUCCUACGGGAGGCUGCAGUCGAGGAUCUUCGGCAAUGGACGAAAGUCUGACCGAGCAACGCCGCGUGUGCGAUGAAGGCCUUCGGGUUGUAAAGCACUGUCGAGGGGAAACAAGCCGUAAGGUUGAGUGACCCCUGGAGGAAGCACGGGCUAAGUUCGUGCCAGCAGCCGCGGUAAGACGAACCGUGCAAACGUUAUUCGGAAUCACUGGGCUUAAAGGGCGCGUAGGCGGGUGAUCAAGUCAAUGGUGAAAUCCUCCAGCUUAACUGGAGAAGUGCCUUUGAUACUGAUUGUCUAGAGGGAGGUAGGGGCAUGUGGAACUUCAGGUGGAGCGGUGAAAUGCGUAGAUAUCUGAAGGAACGCCAGUGGCGAAAGCGAUGUGCUGGACCUCUUCUGACGCUGAGGCGCGAAAGCUAGGGGAUCAAACGGGAUUAGAUACCCCGGUAGUCCUAGCCCUAAACUAUGGGUACUAGAUUGUGGACUUUCAUGGGUUCACAGUCGAAGCAAAAGUGUUAAGUACCCCGCCUGGGG
rnacentral:rRNA from 1 species